UACGAAGGGGGCUAGCGUUGUUCGGAAUUACUGGGCGUAAAGCGCGCGCAGGCGGUCUUCCAAGUCAGUGGUGAAAGCCCGGAGCUCAACUCCGGAACUGCUAUUGAAACUGUGAGACUUGAGGAUGAGAGAGGUGAGUGGAAUUCCCAGUGUAGAGGUGAAAUUCGUAGAUAUUGGGAAGAACACCGGUGGCGAAGGCGGCUCACUGGCUCAUUUCUGACGCUCAGGCGCGACAGCGUGGGGAUCAAACAGG
rnacentral:rRNA from 1 species